rnacentral:lncRNA from 1 species
AUGUGUACUGUGAACAGAAGUUCUGGAGACAAAAAUCCACGAGUUGCUGCACCACCAGAGAAAGCAGAACUUCAUUUAAUCCUCACAUCCACUUCUUCCACCAGACCCAGGUCUUUGUUGUUAAAAUGCUUUUGGCGUGCAUUGCUGAACCCCUGGAGGAAGAGGGGCCAGGAUGGAUGUCUUCUCACCUGAUGCAAGCAACUGAGAAGGAAACUACAUAUGGCAAAAGCUGAUUUGGCUAAGCAUGAAUCCUUUAUUACAUAAAUCAACUUGGUGUUGUUUAUGCACCGAGUAAAAAAGAUCACUUACAGAUUUUAUUUGUCUAACUGCACAUUUUAUUCUGCUUAGUGACUAGCAAUCUGGGGACCUUACAUGUACUUUGUAAAUCUAGAGCUGGGAGUGGGAGAGGGAACAUCUAUUUCUCCCUCCACUCCUUGCAAGUACAUUCAUCAGAGCAUCUCCAUCGCUUGUGGAUUUCAUUACUGCUGGUGAGGAUGUAUUAACCAUCCACUUUGAGCGUAUUGCUUCGGGGAUUUUCUGAUGGAAAGAGUUUUACAUCUCAUCCUACCUAAGGAAUUAAUGAACCCAGACUCAAAAAUUCAUUUAUGGUCCUAAAUCCAGAAUUUAAAAAAUUAGCAGAGAACUAAAAACACAGCCUUCCAAAGCUGAAAAAUUUACUUAGAGCUCCCCAUAAUUUAAAAGGUUAAUUUGCUCCAAACACCAAAAUCUGACCUUCAAUUGCAUCCCAUUCAUGGAGUUGAAUGUAUAGCAAGACACUACUUUCAAUUGUUUUCUUAGUAAUGAUUAAUCUUCCUUUUAAAUGAACGCAUUAAAAAUGCUUUUUUGUCUUUCAAAACAAACCCUUAGCAAAUCUGGUUGCUAUCCUGAAAAGCAGCACUCAUGCGAUAAGUAUUCCUGAGUUCUCGGCUCUGCUCGAAGUCGCAGCUACCAUCUAGGUAAGUGAUAAACAGAGCCCCUAGAAAAAAUAAAUAAAGAAAAACCCUUGGCA